rnacentral:rRNA from 1 species
UACAGCGGUACCAAGCGUUGUUCGGAUUCAUUGGGCGUAAAGGGUGCGUAGGCGGUGCGAUAAGUCAGGCGUGAAAGGCCCGGGCUCAACCCGGGGACUGCGCUUGAUACUGUUGCGCUGUGAGUCCGGGAGAGGAUGGCGGAAUUCCCAGUGUAGAGGUGAAAUUCGUAGAUAUUAGGAAGAACACCGGUGGCGAAGGCGGCCAUCUGGACCGGCACUGACGCUGAGGCGCGAAAGCGUGGGGAGCAAACAGG